rnacentral:tRNA from 1 species
GGGGUUGUGGCUCAGAGGUAGAGUGCUCACCUAGCAUGCGUGAGGCACUGGGUUUGAUCCUCAGCACCACA